ACUGUGAGGAGGGAAUUUGUUUCAGUGGUUGGUUCCCUGUAGUUGAUCCGAUCAAAACAAAUUUUUGUGCCUGGUUCAGAUUACUCCCAGUGACCCUGCUUCUUUGUAUCUUCUCUUUUAAGGCAUUGAACAUGGCAUAAGCUACAUCAGAGUCCUCCUGUACCUCAUGAUGACCAUCGUCCUGGUUAUUACUCUCCCUUUGUUGGGCCUGUCUUUCUGGUACAUUCAGAGAAAGAAAGAAAAAGAGGCUGAUGCAGGAGACCAGGAGUGUACUACUUAUGAGUCAAUUUCUAAUCCAAGCCCUGAUGCUACAGAAAAUCCAGAGUAUGCCACAGUUUCAUAUCCUAAAAAAAACAUCCAAAAGGAUUUGGAAGCACUGCAUACAAUUUAUGAUAUUCUGCAGAAUACUACAAAGAUGGAUAAAUCUGACGCGCUUGAAAAGAACCCAGGGUCUCUAGGAACAUUAGGCUUUAGUAAUAUCAUCUAA
rnacentral:lncRNA from 1 species